GGGACCAUGGCGCAGCUGGUUAGCGCGCAGGUCUCAUAUCUCCGCAUAUGAUCUGGUUAAACGCCAGAGCCAUCCUGAGGUGAUCCUCACUGGUCCCA